rnacentral:rRNA from 1 species
GACGAACGCUGGCGGCGUGCUUAACACAUGCAAGUCGAACGGAAAGGCCUCUUUCGGGGGGUACUCGAGUGGCGAACGGGUGAGUAACACGUGAGUAACCUGCCCUUGACUUUGGGAUAACUUCAGGAAACUGGGGCUAAUACCGGAUAGGAGCUCCUGCUGCAUGGUGGGGGGUGGAAAGUUUCGGCGGUUGGGGGUGGACUCGCGGCUUAUCAGCUUGUUGGUGGGGGAGUGGCUUACCAAGGCUUUGACGGGUAGCCGGCCUGAGAGGGUGACCGGCCACAAUGGGACUGGGAUACGGCCCAGACUCCCAAGGGAGGCAGCCGUGGGGAAUAUUGCAACAUGGGUGGAAGCCUGAUGCAGCAACGCCGUGUGCGGGAUGACGGGCUUCGGGUUGGAAACCGCUUUCGCUCAUGACGAAGCUUUGUGUGACGGUAGUGGGUAAAGAAGCACCGGCUAACUACGUG